rnacentral:tRNA from 1 species
GCCGACGUAGCUCAGCAGGUAGAGCGCCUGGUCCAUAACCAGGAGGUACCCGGUUCGAGACCGGGCGUCGGUA